GCGGCCGUAGCUCAGUGGUAGAGCGUUGCCCUCCCAAGGCAAAUACGUGGGUUCAAUUCCCGUCGGCCGCUCCA
rnacentral:tRNA from 1 species